rnacentral:rRNA from 1 species
AUCUACUCAGAGUGCUUGGGUGGAGGUAUGUGUCUGGGGCCGUGAGCGUGCGUUUCGUGCGUGCGUUCUCGCGCUUGAGCGCUUCCUCUGUUGCUCACCUCUGUGCUCUUACUCGGAGGGGGUGACUUCUGUGUCACCUUGAGUAAAUCAUGGUGCUCACAGCAGUCGUGCGGGCCCUGUGCCCUGUGAACAGUCUAUGCGGACUGAAUUGGUUUUGCAAGGCAUGACGAAACAUGACGUCGCUGCUGGUCGCGAGUGUGAGGGCGUAGUCCUCGUGGCUGCGCCGAGCGGUUUGCCAGUAGUGACGUAAUGAUCAAUGGAGACGGUAGCUGGCAUUGGUAUUGCGCGGCGAGAGGUGAAAUUCUGCGACCCCCGCAAGACCUCCUAAAGCGAAGGCGUCUGCCAAGGACGUGUUCACCAAUCAUGAACGAAAGUCAGAGGAUCGAAGGCGAUCAGAUACCGCCCUAGUUCUGACCCUAAACGAUGCCAACCAUCAAUCCGCGUGAGCACCCUAUCUAACGGGCUCGGCGGGCAGCUCCCUUCUUCCGGGAAACCAGAGUUUUUGGGUUCCGGGGGGAGUCUGGUUGCAAAGCU